AAUAAGGUGACUGAAGUAUUUUAGGUGAUAAAUUGUAAAUUUAUUUAUGGUAUAUAUAAUUACCCCUUAUUA
rnacentral:tRNA from 1 species